rnacentral:rRNA from 1 species
UGGGGGAUUUUGCACAAUGGGCGCAAGCCUGAUGCAGCGACGCCGCGUGAGGGAUGAAGGCCUUCGGGUUGUAAACCUCUUUCGCUGGGUUGAAAGGCCAUGCUUUGGGUGUGGUUGAUUUGAACUGGUAAAGAAGUACCGGCUAACUACGUGCCAGCAGCCGCGGUAAUACGUAGGGUACUAGCGUUGUCCGGAUUUAUUGGGCGUAAAGGGCUUGUAGGUGUUUUGUCGCGUCUGUCGUGAAAUCCUGUGGCUUAACCAUGGGCUUGCGGUGGGUACGGGCAGGCUUGAGUGCGGUAGGGGAGACUGGAAUUCCUGGUGUAGCGGUGGAAUGCGCAGAUAUCAGGAGGAACACCGGUGGCGAAGGCGGGUCUCUGGGCCGUUACUGACACUGAGGAGCGAAAGCGUGGGGAGCGAACAGG